rnacentral:rRNA from 1 species
UACGGAGGGUGCAAGCGUUAAUCGGAAUUACUGGGCGUAAAGCGUGCGUAGGUGGUUCGUUAAGUCCGUUGUGAAAGCCCCGAGCUCAACUUGGAAAUUGCAGUGGAUACUGGCGAGCUGGAGUGCGGUAGAGGAAGGUGGAAUUCCCGGUGUAGCGGUGAAAUGCGUAGAGAUCGGGAGGAACACCAGUGGCGAAGGCGGCCUUCUGGACCAGCACUGACACUCAAGCACGAAAGCGUGGGGAGCAAACAGG